rnacentral:rasiRNA from 1 species
AGAGACGUUAGAAAUCCCUUGGUGU